rnacentral:rRNA from 1 species
AUUGAACGCUGGCGGCAGGCCUAACACAUGCAAGUCGAGCGAGCGGCGGACGGGUGAGUAAUGUCUGGGAAACUGCCUGAUGGAGGGGGAUAACUACUGGCAACGGUAGCUAAUACCGCAUACCCUCGGAUGUGCCCAUAUGGGAUUAGCUUGUGGGGGGGGUAACGGCUCACCAAGGCGACGAUCCCUAGCUGGUCUGAGAGGAUGACCAGCAACACUGGAACGGAGACACGGUCCAGACUCCUACGGGCGGCAGCAGUGGGGAAUAUUGCACAAUGGGCGAAAGCCUGAUGCAGCCAUGCCGCGUGUAUGAAGAAGGCCUUCGGGUUGUAAAGUACUUUCAGCGGGGAGGCGUUACCCGCAGAAGAAGCACCGGCUAACUCCGUGCCAGCAGCCGCGGUAAUAC